rnacentral:lncRNA from 1 species
AAUGUAUUAUGGAAACGUGACAGAGAGGACUAGCUGAACAAAUUGAAUUCAGUGUCGUCCAACAAAUAUUUCUGAAUAAGACACCAACAUCAAUACAUAGAGAAUGUUCUCAUAUACUGUAUGUGUGUGUAUAUGUAUAUAUAUAUAUGUAUGUGUGUGUAUAUAUAUAUAUACAUACAUACAUGCUAUUUUUGAUUUAGCUCAUUAUGUAACUGGGCUGUUAUAUGGCGCUGCUAAAGCAGUGGGUUCAAUGUUUUUGAGUAAUUAAUUAAUGAUGGCAAUACAUGUUGGACACAUACUGUUCCAGGGAAUUCAACAACUUCUUUAUUUUUCUGUCAUUUAUAAAUAAAAAGGUUAUCUCAGACAAGGAAGAUAGCAUGACUGGCAACAGAUCAAAGAAGACCAAGAUUUCUUCGUCCCCUUCAUUCUUGGACAAGGCAGGCGGAUUCUAUGGACGUCUAGAUGAGACAGAGGUUGAUGGAGGAAAGUCAGAAACAACAAAACAAGGAAUGUCACCUGGGCCGACAAAACGGGAACCUGAUGUUUUUCACUUUAACGAAGGCAUGAUGGAGGACGAUGGGACCACCACCCUGCUGAGAAGAAAACCUAGUCGAUGGAGCAGACGAAGCUCCAGGAAGGUCAAAGCAGACAAAGGCUCCCCAGGGAAGAACAUCCAGAGUGUGGGCACGGAUUCCGAUACAACCCCUGGAUGUGGCACAUCGUCUGAAACCCAGACCGUGGGACUCCCAGUUGUCCAGGAGCCUGAACCCACUUUAAUUCACUUCUCUAUUCGGGAGGAGGCCGAUGACCAUUCUCUCAUACAGGGACACAACUGUGAGGUAGAAGUAAAAGAGAGGAAGAAAGGAAAGGAGGAGAACCGGGAAGAGAAGAACGGAGGAGAGCAGAUGAAGAUGGCAAAGAGAAGCACACUGAAGCUCUACCGUAAGGCAAUAGACAGGGCCUUCCGACGAGGAUGGGAGACCUUCGUCACCAGUCUGUACAGUGUGUCUCUGACCCCUGUAACGUCUACACCACCAUCAUCAUCAUCAUCUGGAAAAGCUAAAAAAAGCAAUGGAUCAGUCCUAAUGGAUUACAGAUAGAUCAUCUGACCAGCUUGGACAUUUAGAACACACUGUUCUGUUAGGGGUCAAGGUUCACCUUGUAAAAUGUAGAUACUGUGUUCUGACGUGUUCAUGUAGGCUAUACUAAUUUGAAUUGCACCAUGUAAACUUAAAUUGACCUAAUUUUAGGAAGGUUACUAAUUCUGUAACCUGAGAGUGAGGUCAAAUUACCUUAAAGAGGGCAUGGCAAUUAUGACGCAACAUUUAUUGUACUGGUGUGAGCCUAUGUCAUGUAAUCAUAUGAACAUUUCGUAGUUAAAUUAUAACUAGCAUGUUGAAAUUUUCGCAAGGUUUGAUCAUACUUUAGUUUAUUUGUCUCACUCUAUAAUAUUUAUUGUCCAACUAUUUAAAACAUGUCUACAUUUUGUGCUCAUACUCUCACUUUUGGCCAUGACAUCUUGGAAAGGGCACUGCCUGGAAGAGCUGAAGGGAGAGAUAUUCACAUGAGGACAAAUUGCUACAUUUGGAGAAUUGUGUACGAACAUUAGGUUCUAAAAUAUUUGUUAUAUAUGUGUUAUGGCUUUUUUUUGUCUUAAGUCACUGAUAUGUUGUUUAUAUUAUUUACAAUGAAGUUGCAGUCUUCAAUAAAACGAACUCAAACUAAAUAUAGCA